rnacentral:rRNA from 1 species
AUGUGUUUGCAUGCAGUAGGUCUAGAUGUGGUUGUAGAGCAUAUUCCGGUGGAGAUACAAGCAGUUUUGGAGUUUCAGGCAGUCUUUGAGGAGCCGACAGGGCUGGCCCCUCCUCGGGCAUGGGAUCACUCCAUUCCCAUCCUCCCAGGAGCCAAACCAGUGAAUAUUUGGCCCUACAAAUAUACACCUGAACAGAAAAAUGAGAUCGAGGCCCAAGUGAAAGAAAUGCUCAAGGCAGGGCUGAUUGUACCUAGCGCAAGCCCGUAUUCUUCGCCUCUUUUGCUCAUCAAAAAGAAGGAUAUGACUUGGCGUCUAUGCGUGGACUAUCGUCACAUGAACGCCAUCACAGUCAAGAUCACUUAUUCAAUGCCAGUGAUCGAUGAGCUCCUAGAUGAACUAGCCGGUUUGUGUUGGUUCUCAAAAUUAGACCUCCGAGCAGGAUAUCACCAGAUCCGUCUACGCGAGGAAGAUGAGCCGAAGACGGCCUUCAAAACACAUCAAGGGCAUUAUCAAUUUAGAGUGUUGCCGUACGGUGUUAUGGGGGGACCGACAACAUUUCAAGGGGGGGUCACUAUUGGAAAUAGCUUCUUUGUCGUCUGCCAUGGCAGACGGCAAAGGCAUAUCCUUGACGCCAAACAUCUUUGUCGUCCGCCAGUAGACGGAAAACUGUCCGUUUGA